UACAAAUAAUUUUUAACAUGCUACAAGCC
rnacentral:sRNA from 1 species